UACAGAGGGUGCGAGCGUUAAUCGGAAUUACUGGGCGUAAAGCGCGCGUAGGCGGCUUUGCAAGUCGGGUGUGAAAUCCCCAGGCUUAACCUGGGAACUGCAUUCGAGACUGCAUUGCUAGAGUAUGGGAGAGGGAAGUGGAAUUUCCGGUGUAGCGGUGAAAUGCGUAGAUAUCGGAAGGAACAUCAGUGGCGAAGGCGACUCUUUGGUCUGUAACUGACGCUGAGGCGCGAAAGCGUGGGGAGCAAACAGG
rnacentral:rRNA from 1 species